AUCACCGACAAUGUUCACAUUACUAAUUAAACGUAGUACUGGAAGCUGGCAUCUUAUUUGCAUGCAUAUGAGAAUUUGGUAACACAAAAUGGCCAUGUCCACGACAUACGUGGUCCACUAGAUGGAUAUAAAUUUACAGAAUAUGACGGAGCUAAGGAAAUAACUCUUGUAAAUAACUUACACGCGAAUAUGUAAAUUGCAAGGAGAUUGGUUUUAAAACAUGAUCUCGUGAACGUGUUGAGAUGGUUUUAUAGCCGUAUCUUGCGUGUAAAAUGCGUGUGUAGUUUAAUAUAUUGAUUGUGAAGUUAAUGCACAUAAUUUAAUUUCGAAAUUGUAGUUAUUGAUUUGUAUAAAAAUGUUACUCAAAAACACAAUUAUCUUUUAUUUUUUUUUUUUUUUAAAUAUGAAUUAUCUUUUAAUUGUCUGUUAAUUUUUUUAAUAAAGAAUUUUUUGAGAAUAAAAAUUAACUUUUAAAAAAAG
rnacentral:misc_RNA from 1 species